UAAAGGUUCCUUAAAUUCCCGAAGGGCAAGAAGUUAACCAAGUAAAACAGCAUCGGAACACCAGGUGAGAUCCGGCCCCACCGAGACUCGCUCCCCUCUCUGGACAGAGGAUCUCAACUGGGUCCCGGUUUCCCUCUCCGCGCCUCCGCCCAGAGUUGCAUCAUCUGCACCGAAAGGCGGCGAGACAGGGUCUCCCAAGACCCCCGCCCCACCGGCGCCCACGCCUGCGGUCUUGACCGCCCAGAAGAUGGGGGCUGGCCGUGCACGUGGCCCCGGGCUCCCACCCCAGCCCCCGCGCCGGCGGAGUGGACCCCACUGGCGGCGAGUCCUGGAGCGUGGAGCAGGGACGCGGGGUGGGAAUCCGGGGGAGAUGCACGUUUCGGUGCCCAGCAUUGAGUUCGCUGCAUUGUGGAUGGGAAAUGGCUGUUUGCAAAUCGCCCUUUUUGGCGGACCGUGUGGGGUGGCGGUAAACGCUGUCGUUGCGCGGGCGGCACGCGAGGUGGGUGCCCGCUGGGGGAGGGACGCGGGGCUCUGCCCAGGUUGCGUUCGGGGGAUGGAGGUUUUCCUGGGACCUCACUUCCCUGAGCCCCAGGCGAGACCGCAGCUGAGCUGUAGGAUGCAAGCGGGAGGCGGAGCGUGGGUGGGAGAGCGGAGCGCGAAAUUCUCGGCUUCCCGAGGAUCUUCUGGGCUUACUUGUCCCCAGCUUUGUCCCAAAGUGUCGCUUCCG
rnacentral:lncRNA from 1 species